rnacentral:rRNA from 2 species
ACGGGUGAGUAAUGUCUGGGGAUCUGCCCGAUAGAGGGGGAUAACCACUGGAAACGGUGGCUAAUACCGCAUAACGUCGCAAGACCAAAGAGGGGGACCUUCGGGCCUCUCACUAUCGGAUGAACCCAGAUGGGAUUAGCUAGUAGGCGGGGUAAUGGCCCACCUAGGCGACGAUCCCUAGCUGGUCUGAGAGGAUGACCAGCCACACUGGAACUGAGACACGGUCCAGACUCCUACGGGAGGCAGCAGUGGGGAAUAUUGCACAAUGGGCGCAAGCCUGAUGCAGCCAUGCCGCGUGUAUGAAGAAGGCCUUCGGGUUGUAAAGUACUUUCAGCGGGGAGGAAGGCGAUGCGGUUAAUAACCGCGUCGAUUGACGUUACCCGCAGAAGAAGCACCGGCUAACUCCGUGCCAGCAGCCGCGGUAAUACGGAGGGUGCAAGCGUUAAUCGGAAUUACUGGGCGUAAAGCGCACGCAGGCGGUCUGUUAAGUCAGAUGUGAAAUCCCCGGGCUUAACCUGGGAACUGCAUUUGAAACUGGCAGGCUUGAGUCUUGUAGAGGGGGGUAGAAUUCCAGGUGUAGCG